UCCAAUUGACCAUCUUUUAAUCGAGAUUUUGCCUUCGGGUACAAUUGAGACAGGUGGUGCAUGGUUGUCGUCAGCUCGUGUCGUGAGAUGUUGGGUUAAGUCCCGCAACGAGCGCAACCCUUGUGUUUAGUUGCAAACAGGUCAAGCUGUGCACUCUAGACAGACUGCCGUGGACAACACGGAGGAAGGUGGGGAUGACGUCAAAUCAUCAUGCCCCUUAUGAUCUGGGCUACACACGUGCUACAAUGGCCGGUACAACGGGCAGCGAAGGAGCGAUCCGGAGCGAAUCCUAAAAAGCCGGUCCCAGUUCGGAUUGCAGGCUGAAACUCGCCUACAUGAAGUUGGAGUUGCUAGUAAUCGCGAAUCAGAAUGUCGCGGUGAAUGCGUUCCCGGGUCUU
rnacentral:rRNA from 1 species